rnacentral:rRNA from 1 species
CGUAACAAGGUCUCCGUUGGUGAACCAGCGGAGGGAUCAUUACCGAGUUUUCAACUCCCAAACCCUUUUGUGAACAUACCUAUCGUUGCUUCGGCGGACUCGCCCCAGCGUCCGGCCGGCCCCGCGCCGGCCGCGGCCUGGAUCCAGGCGGCCGCCGGAGACCCCCAAACUCUGUAUUCUCAGUAUCUUCUGAAUCCGCCGCAAGGCAAAACAAAUGAAUCAAAACUUUCAACAACGGAUCUCUUGGUUCUGGCAUCGAUGAAGAACGCAGCGAAAUGCGAUAAGUAAUGUGAAUUGCAGAAUUCAGUGAAUCAUCGAAUCUUUGAACGCACAUUGCGCCCGCCAGCAUUCUGGCGGGCAUGCCUGUUCGAGCGUCAUUUCAACCCUCGACUUCCCUUUGGGGAAAUCGGCGUUGGGGACCGGCCGUAUACCGCCGGCCCCGAAAUGAAGUGGCGGCCCGUCCGCGGCGACCUCUGCGUAGUAAUCCAACUCGCACCGGAACCCCGACGUGGCCACGCCGUAAAACCCCCGACUUCUGAACGUUGACCUCGGAUCAGGUAGGAAUACCCGCUGAACUUAAGCAUAUCAA